ensembl:snRNA U6 U6 spliceosomal RNA
GUAUUCAUCCUUUUAACAGCAAUUUGUUUGGAAUUAUACAGAGAAGAUUAGCAUGACACCUGCACAAGGAUGACACACAAAUUCGUGAAGUGUUCCAUAUUUUU